rnacentral:rRNA from 1 species
GAUAAGACCUAGUGGCGAAAGGGCGAGUAAUACAUUUCUGACGUACCCCGAGGUUCGGGAUAGCCCAGGGAAACCUGGAGUAAUACCGGAUGCGGUCAACGGGUCCAGAAGCCGUUGAUCAAAGGAGCAAUCCGACUUGGGAGCGGGAAAUGUCCUAUCAGGUAGUUGGCGGGGUAACGGCCCACCAAGCCGAAGACGGGUAGCGGGUGUGAGAGCACGGCCCGCCGCAUCGGGACUGAGACACUGCCCGGACUCCUACGGGAGGCUGCAGUAACGAAUAUUCCACAAUGCGCGAAAGCGUGAUGGAGCAAUGCCGCGUGCAGGAUGAAGGCCUUCGGGUUGUAAACUGCUGUCAGGGUUUAGGAACAUAAUGACCAGACCCAAAGGAAGAGACGGCUAACUCUGUGCCAGCAGCCGCGGUAAUACAGAGGUCUCGAGCGUUAAUCGGAAUCACUGGGCUUAAAGCGUACGCAGGCGGACCGGUAAGUACUUUGUGAAAUCCCCCGGCUCAGCCGGGGAACUGCUUGGUAUACUGCCGGUCUGGAGCAUGGUAGAGGCGGUCGGAACGAUAUGU